rnacentral:rRNA from 1 species
AGUGAACGCUGGCGGUAGGCCUAACACAUGCAAGUCGAACGGCAGCACAGGAGAGCUUGCUCUCUGGGUGGCGAGUGGCGGACGGGUGAGGAAUACAUCGGAAUCUACUCUGUCGUGGGGGAUAACGUAGGGAAACUUACGCUAAUACCGCAUACGACCUACGGGUGAAAGCAGGGGACCUUCGGGCCUUGCGCGAUUGAAUGAGCCGAUGUCGGAUUAGCUAGUUGGCGGGGUAAAGGUCCACCAAGGCGACGAUCCGUAGCUGGUCUGAGAGGAUGAUCAGCCGCACUGGAACGGAGACACGGGCCAGACUCCUACGGGAGGCAGCAGUGGGGAAUAUUGGACAAUGGGCGCAAGCCUGAUCCAGCCAUACCGCGUGGGUGAAGAAGGCCUUCGGGUUGUAAAGCCCUUUUGUUGGGAAAGAAAUCCAGCUGGCUAAUACCUGGUUGGGAUGACGGUACCCAAAGAAUAAGCACCGGCUAACUUCGUGCCAGCCGCCGCAGUAA